UGGGGAAUUUUGGACAAUGGGCGAAAGCCUGAUCCGGCAAUGCCGCGUGUGUGAAGAAGGCCUUCGGGUUGUAAAGCACUUUUGUCCGGAAAGAAAUCCUCUGGGUUAAUACCUCGGGGGGAUGACGGUACCGGAAGAAUAAGCACCGGCUAACUACGUACCAGCAGCCGCGGUAAUACGUAGGGUGCAAGCGUUAAUCGGAAUUACUGGGCGUAAAGCGUGCGCAGGCGGUUUUGUAAGACGGAUGUGAAAUCCCCGGGCUUAACCUGGGAACUGCAUUCGUGACUGCAAGGCUAGAGUAUGGCAGAGGGGGGUAGAAUUCCACGUGUAGCAGUGAAAUGCGUAGAGAUGUGGAGGAAUACCGAUGGCGAAGGCAGCCCCCUGGGCCAAUACUGACGCUCAUGCACGAAAGCGUGGGGAGCAAACA
rnacentral:rRNA from 1 species